CAAAACAUUUGGUGGAUACCUAGGCACUCAGAGUUGAUGAAGGGCGUGGGCAACUGCGAAAAGCUCCGACGAGUUGAGCACAAACGUUGACUCGGAGAUUCCCGAAUAGGGCAACCUCAUAGUACCUUUUCUUAAAUUCAUAAUAGAAAUAGGAAGUAACCUAGCGAACUGAAACAUCUUAGUAGCUAGAGGAAUAGAAAGCAAAAGCGAUUUCCAAAGUAGUGGUGAGCGAAAUGGAAACAGCCUAAACCAAUAAAAAUUUAUUGGGGUCGUGGGAAAAACUGAAAAAAGGACAAAAUAAGGAAUUAGUGAAACAAUUGAAUGUUGUACCGUAGACGGUGAAAGUCCAGUAACUGAACUUAAAAAUCCUUUGGUUUUAUCCCGAGUAGCAUGGGACCCGUGAAAUCCCGUGUGAAUCCACGAGGACCACCUCGUAAGGCUAAAUAUUCCUGAGUGACCGAUAGCGUAUAAGUACCGCGAGGGAAAGGUGAAAAGAACCCCAGUAGGGGAGUGAAAUAGAACAUGAAACCAUAUGUUGACAAUCAGUGGGAGGAGUUUUACUCUGACCGCGUGCCUGUCGAAGAAUGAGCCGGCGAGUUAUAUGUAGUGGCAGGUUAAAAAGGAUCUUUGAAGCCCCAGCGAAAGCAAGUCUGAACAGGGCGUUAAGUCACUAUAUAUAGACCCGAACCCGGAUGAUCUAACCAUGACCAGGAUGAAACUUCAGUAACAUGCAGUGAAGGUCCGAACCGACCGAUGUUGAAAAAUCGGCGGAUGAGUUGUGGUUAGGGGUGAAAUGCCAAUCGAAUCCGGAGCUAGCUGGUUCUCCCCGAAAUGUGUUGAGGCGCAGCGCUCAAUAAUGGGCUUUCUAGGGGUAAAGCACUGUAUCGGUGCGGGCCGGGAGACUGGUACCAAAUCGUAGCAAACUAAGAAUACUAGAAAUGCUUUCUAUUGAGCAGUGAGACAGUGGGGGAUAAGCUCCAUUGUCGAGAGGGAAACAGCCCAGAUCACCAGCUAAGGCCCCUAAAUGAAUCCUAAGUGUUAAAGGAGGUGAAGAUGCAUAAACAGCCAGAAGGUUUGCUUAGAAGCAGCCAUCCUUUAAA
rnacentral:rRNA from 1 species